GACGAACGCUGGCGGCAGGCCUAACACAUGCAAGUCGAGCGCCCCGCAAGGGGAGCGGCAGACGGGAGAGUAACACGUGGGAACAUGCCCUUCAGUACGGAACAACCAAGGGAAACUUUGGCUAAUACCGUAUACGCCCGUAAGGGGAAAGAUUUAUCGCUGAAGGAUUGGCCCGCGUCUGAUUAGCUAGUUGGUGGGGUAAUGGCCCACCAAGGCGACGAUCAGUAGCUGGUCUGAGAGGAUGAUCAGCCUCACUGGGACUGAGACACGGCCCAGACUCCUACGGGAGGCAGCAGUGGGGAAUAUUGGACAAUGGGCGCAAGCCUGAUCCAGCCAUGCCGCGUGAGUGAUGAAGGCCUUAGGGUUGUAAAGCUCUUUCGUCAGGGAAGAUAAUGACGGUACCUGAAGAAGAAGCCCCGGCUAACUUCGUGCCAGCCGCCGCCGUAACAC
rnacentral:rRNA from 1 species